AGAGGGUGCUAGCGUUAUUCGGAAUCACUGGGCGUAAAGCGCAUGUAGGGUGGAGUAUCAAGUCAGAUGUGAAAUCCCGGAGCUUAACUUCGGAACUGCAUUUGAAACUGAUAUUCUUGAGUCUGGGAGAGGGAGGCGGAAUUCCAGGUGUAGAGGUGAAAUUCGUAGAUAUCUGGAGGAACACCGGAGGCGUAGGCGGCUUCCUGGUCCAGUACUGACACUGAGAUGCGAAAGCGUGGGGAGCAAACAGGAUUAGAUACCCUGGUAGUCCACGCUGUAAACGAUGUUAACUAGCCGUUUAAGGAUUUGACCCCUUGAGUGGCGUAGCCAACGCGUUAAGUUAACCGCCUGGGGAGUACGGUCGCAAGAUUA
rnacentral:rRNA from 1 species